CCUACGGGUGGCAGCAGUGAGGAAUAUUGGUCAAUGGGCGCGAGUCUGAACCAGCCAAGUCGCGUGAGGGAUGACUGCCCUAUGGAUUGUAAACUUCUUUUGUCUGGGAGUAAAAGAUUCCACGCGUGGCGUUUUGAGAGUACCCUCAGAAUAAGGAUCGGCUAACUCCGUGCCAGCAGCCGCGGUAAUACGGAGGAUCCGAGCGUUAUCCGGAUUUAUUGGGUUUAAAGGGAGCGUAGGCGGUCUGUUAAGUCUGAUGUGAAAGUGUGCGGCUCAACCGUAGUAUUGCAUUGGAAACUGGGAGACUUGAGUGCAGUAGAGGAGAGUGGAACUCGAUGUGUAGCGGUGAAAUGCGUAGAUAUCUGGAAGAACUCCAAUGGCGAAAGCAGCUCUCUGGUCUGUAACUGACACUGAGGUUCGAAAGCGUGGGUAGCAAACAGGAUUAGAUACCCCAGUAGUC
rnacentral:rRNA from 1 species